rnacentral:tRNA from 1 species
GGGGGUACAGCUCAGUGGUAGAGCAUUCGACAGCAGAUCACGAGGUUCCCGGUUCAAACCCGGAUGCUCCCU